rnacentral:rRNA from 1 species
GAACGGAGAAUUGCUAGCUUGCUAAUAAUUCUCUAGUGGCGCACGGGUGAGUAACACGUGAGUACCUGCCCCCAAGAGUGGGAUAGCCCCGGGAAACUGGGAUUAAUACCGCAUAAAGCAAUAAAGCAGCAAUGCGCUUGGGGAUGGGCUCGCGUCCUAUUAGUUAGUUGGUGAGGUAACGGCUCACCAAGGCGAUGACGGGUAGCCGGUCUGAGAGGAUGUCCGGCCACACUGGAACUGAGACACGGUCCAGACACCUACGGGUGGCAGCAGUCGAGAAUCAUUCACAAUGGGGGAAACCCUGAUGGUGCGACGCCGCGUGGGGGAUAAGGUCUUCGGAUUGUAAACCCCUGUCAUGUGGGACAUUAAAAGAUAGUACCACAAGAGGAAGAGACGGCUAACUCUGUGCCAGCAGCCGCGGUAAUACAGAGGUCUCAAGCGUUGUUCGGAAUCACUGGGCGUAAAGCGUGCGUAGGCGGUUUCGUAAGUCGUGUGUGAAAGGCGGGGGCUCAACCCCCGGACUGCACAUGAUACUGCGAGACUAGAGUAAUGGAGGGGGAACCGGAAUUCUCGGUGUAGCAGUGAAAUGCGUAGAUAUCGAGAGGAACACUCGUGGCGAAGGCGGGUUCCUGGACAUUAACUGACGCUGAGGCACGAAGGCCAGGGGAGCGAAAGGGAUUAGAUACCCCUGUAGUCCUGGCAGUAAACGGUGCACGCUUGGUGUGCGGAGAUCGACCCUGCGUGCCGGAGUAACGCGUUAAGCGUGCCGCCUGGGGAGUACGGUCGCAAGAUUACAACUCAAAGAAAUUGACGGGGACCCGCACAAGCGGUGGAGUAUGUGGCUUACUUCGAUGCAACGCGAAGAACCUUACCUGGGCUU